UACGGGGGGGGCAAGCGUUGUUCGGAAUUACUGGGCGUAAAGGGCUCGUAGGCGGCCAACUAAGUCGGAUGUGAAAUCCCCAGGCUUAACCUGGGAACUGCAUCCGAUACUGGAUGGCUUGAAUCCGGGAGAGGGAUGCAGAAUUCCAGGUGUAGCGGUGAAAUGACGUAGAUAUCUGGAGGAAUACCGGUGGCGAAGGCGGCAUCCUGGACCGGCAUUGACGCUGAUGAGCGAAAGCUAAGGGGAGCAAACGGGG
rnacentral:rRNA from 1 species